GACUGCUUCGAAGGCCUAGUGGUUAGAGCGUCCGCCUCGGAUGCAGGAGGUUGUGGGUUCAAACCUCAGCAGAGUCA